CAUAGCGACUAUCGUGGCAUAUCAAUAAGCGGAGGAAAAGAAACUAACAAGGAUUCCCUUAGUAACGGCGAGUGAAGCGGGAAGAGCUCAAAUUUGAAAUCUUCAAGGUUCUACCUUGACGAAUUGUAGUUUAUAAGAAGUGUUUUCUGUUAGUAGAGUUGGCUAAAAGUUCUUUGGAACUAGGACAUCAUAGAGGGUGAGAAUCCCGUAUUUGAUCAUUCUUUCUAACUUUGUGAUACACUUUCAACGAGUCGGAUUGUUUGGGAAUGCAGUCCAAAAUGGGUGGUAAAUUUCAUCUAAAGCUAAAUAUUGGCGAGAGACCGAUAGCGAACAAGUACCGUGAGGGAAAGAUGAAAAGAACUUUGAAAAGAGAGUUAAACAGUACGUGAAAUUGUCAAAAGGGAAGCGUUUGACACCAGUGUUGUUUUUCCGAAAAUCAAUUACGAAUGUUUUGUUUUUAAGAAGUUAUGACUUCAUCGGCUUGCUUCUCUCUUUACGAAACUUUCUUAAUGCACUUUUCGGUUAACAAGUCAACAUCAAUUUCUUUUGUUGUAAAAGGGUACGAGGAAGGUGGCUUCCUUUCGGAGAAAGUGGUUUAUAGCCUUGUACCUCUGCAAUCGGAGAGAUUGAGGUCUGCAGCGUAGAUCCUUCGGGGUUAGAUACGUUUGUGCUAAGUUAUAGCUUUUCAUAGACAACUUGUUGACUAUGUUUAGUCUUGUAGCUUACUCGCUUAUGCUAUUUUACCUACGCUUAGGAUGUUGAUAUGCAUGACUGAUAU
rnacentral:rRNA from 1 species